AUGACUACUCAAAGCUAUCAAUCUUCUUAUAUUGUGCUUGUUUUAUGCAUGAGUUUUAUUAUGAUUUCUGAAAUUGUUACAAGUUUGGAGACUCCAAUAUUAGUCGAAAAGCCAAUAUGUAUUCAUGGCUUGGCUGUAGACCCACGAUUUUGCUGCAUAGGGAGUUGUAGUCCCAGUUGUUCUACAGAUUGCAUUAAUAAGGGAUUUGUAAAAGGUGGACAGUGUAAUUCUCAACUUGGAAAUAAGUGUUGUUGUGUUGUAUAA